UGCACGGACACUUACACUUACCGGCACACGCUAACGACGAGAGCAAAAGCACAGAGAGUGAGAAGAUUCACUGACAAAAACUCCAUCACCCCCAUCUCCGCCUUUACUCGCCGCAACCCCCAGUGCAUGAGCCUACUGCUUCAAAUCACCACGUACGGCGCCUUCUACGCCGGCGUUCUCGCAGUUCCGCCGUUUUCCUUCAGCUCGAGUAGCCGUAGCCGUAGCUUUUCUGUCAUCUCGUCGGCCCCGUCGUCUGCGUCGCCUUACGCGGGCGGUAAGAAGAGGGAAGCCCCGUCGACGAACUCUGCCGAAUCCCGUCAGAUAAUCCGGGCUUCGUACGCAAGUGAUUUGCUCCAACCGCUUGUGUCUAUGUGCGCCAAGUGCAGAAGAGAGUCCAGUGCAAGACGGCAACAUGCCACCAUUCAGUUUGCUAUAAGGGAUGCGGCUUGCAUCAGGCGUGUCGGGGUCUGUAAGCGGUAACACGCAUUCUGCAAACCACUACAGCGCGUCAGUCGCUAUUAGCGUCGCUUCAUUGUCGAUAUGGAGGAAAAGGUGAGUGUUGCGGCAGGGAGGCUCAUUGACCCAUGUACGUUUCGUGUGCGUGCCUGUGCACGUCGGGUUGUAUGCCUCCAAACGCAUAUUCGUUGCAUGUAUGGCGACUUCUACGUGCGUCUUCCUUUCUUCUCUCCUUCUGCUGUUACUGCUGAGUUGCACUCCUCUGCUUGCGUAACGUGUGUGUCGCUCGCUCUCUUUCUCUCUGUGUCUUUGGUGCCCCAUCUGGCCCUCCGUCCCCAUCCCUCGCUCCUAUGCCUUGUGUGUGCGUGUGCUCGUGUAUGGGGCUGAUGUUGUUACUUUUCGGCGCCUGCCUGUCGGCUGUUCUUCGCUUCUAACCCCCAUUCCGCCGCGAACUUUUGCUAGUGAGUCGCGAGCCCUUCCUCCCCCCGACAUGCAUACACGUACAGACACAGACACACAGGUACUCCAUGGACAGCAAAGAGCGAAUACGUGAAAGGAGCGAGUGCAACUUCGGUGAAUCGGCGUGCACCUUCAUGUGGCACGCUGUUUCUUCCCCUCCGCGAGCCUUGCACCUCACUUCAGAGAGACUUACAGGGUGGCCAAAAGAGGUCUCUACUCUCUGGAGGCGGACGUAUGCGCGCCGGUGGAAGAGAGAGAAAGCGGCACAGAGUCUGCGCCGUCUCACGUCUCCGUCGCUGCCGUUCUCUUUACCUUCCCCCCCCCCCCCCCCAACAUUCUUCUGCUCGCCUGGCCAUUGCCACUGGACUCCUGCACCUGUGCUUCCUCUGUUCCAACACCACGCGCCCACGCACCCACUCAUUAACUCACACGCACGUGUGCUUGCUUCACUUGAUGGUGUGUGCUGCGUUUGCUUCCUGUAUCAAG
rnacentral:misc_RNA from 1 species